rfam:Ciona savignyi cont_46929, whole genome shotgun sequence.
GCAUUGGUGGUUCAGUGGUAGAAUCCUCGCCUGCCACGCGGGGGGCCCGGGUUCGAUUCCCCGGCCAAUGCA